rnacentral:rRNA from 1 species
GUGGCUUCUGACUGCUUAUUGCACCACAUGUGUUUUUCUUUGAAACAAACUUGCUUUGGCGGUGGGCCCAGCCUGCCGCCAGAGGUCUAAACUUACAACCAAUUUUUUAUCAACUUGUCACACCAGAUUAUUACUUAAUAGUCAAAACUUUCAACAACGGAUCUCUUGGUUCUCGCAUCGAUGAAGAACGCAGCGAAAUGCGAUACGUAAUAUGAAUUGCAGAUAUUCGUGAAUCAUCGAAUCUUUGAACGCACAUUGCGCCCUCUGGUAUUCCGGAGGGCAUGCCUGUUUGAGCGUCGUUUCUCCCUCAAACCGCUGGGUUUGGUGUUGAGCAAUACGACUUGGGUUUGCUUGAAAGACGGUAGUGGUAAGGCGGGAUCGCUUUGACAAUGGCUUAGGUCUAACCAAAAACAUUGCUUGCGGCGGUAACGUCCACCACGUAUAUCUUCAAACUUUGACCUCAAAUCAGGUAGGACUACCCGCUGAACUUAAGCAUAUCAAUAAGCGGAGGAA